rnacentral:lncRNA from 1 species
AAAUCACACAAAAACACCCCAAACCCACCCAAAAUCCACCCAAAACCCUCCCCAAAGCCCCCUCUCCAAAGCCCCCUCCCCAAAGCCCAGCCGGCCACUGGGGAGGGAGCACUGGAGGGGAUGGAGCCCCCAGACCCAUGAAUGGAGGGAGCAUGAAGCCCCCAGACUCAUAUGGGGUUGGGAUGUGGAUCCCAGAUCCAUAGAGAGGGAAUGAAGCCCCCAGACCCAUAAAGGGAGGAGGAGAUGAAGCCCCCAGACCCAUAUGGGGGGAGGAUGUGAAUCCCAGACCCAUGGGGAGUAAAUGAAGCCCCCAGACCCAUGGAUGGAGGGGGAGGGGAUGAAGCCCCCAGACCCAUGGAUGGAGGGGAGAUGAAGCCCCCAGACCCAUGGGGAGCAAACGAAGCCCCCAGACCCAUGGAUGGAGGGGAUGAAGCCCCCAGACCCCUGUGUUUGUGCUGGAGUGCUUGGGGAGCCCCCAGGGGGUCCCAGGAGUAUCUCAGUGGAAUAGGACAGCUUAGACACCCCCUCCCCAAAUCCCUGGGAGGAGCGUGGCGGGGUGGGGGGACCGCUCCGAGCCCCCUCCCCAAAUUGCCUUCAGGAGAUCGGGGACGUGGAGAACUGGGCCCGCAGCAUCGAGCUGGACAUGAGGACCAUCGCCACCGCCCUCGAGUACGUCUACAAGGGCCAGCUGCAGCCUUCCUGCUCCUGAGAGACCCCCAGAG